rnacentral:rRNA from 1 species
AUACUCCGAGAACUGAAAGGCUUUUUGAAGUCUUCGGAUGGAUAGAAGAACCCCUGAUGCCGUCGAGCCAAGAAAAGUUUCUAAGUUUAGCUAAUGUUGCCCGUACCGUAAACCGACACAGGUGGGUGGGAUGAGUAUUCUAAGGCGCGUGGAAGAACUCUCUUUAAGGAACUCUGCAAAAUAGCACCGUAUCUUCGGUAUAAGGUGUGGUUAGCUUUGUAUUAGGAUUUACUCCGAAAGCAAGGAAACUUACAACAAAGAGUCCCUCCCGACUGUUUACCAAAAACACAGCACUCUGCUAACUCGUAAGAGGAUGUAUAGGGUGUGACGCCUGCCCGGUGCUCGAAGGUUAAUUGAUGGGGUUAGCAUUAGCGAAGCUCUUGAUCGAAGCCCGAGUAAACGGCGGCCGUAACUAUAACGGUCCUAAGGUAGCGAAAUUCCUUGUCGGUUAAAUACCGACCUGCAUGAAUGGCGUAACGAGAUGGGAGCUGUCUCAAAGAGGGAUCCAGUGAAAUUGUAGUGGAGGUGAAAAUUCCUCCUACCCGCGGCAAGACGGAAAGACCCCGUGGACCUUUACUACAGCUUGACACUGCUACUUGGAUAAGAAUGUGCAGGAUAGGU